rnacentral:rRNA from 1 species
GACGAACGCUGGCGGCGUGCCUAAUACAUGCAAGUAGAACGCACAGUUUAUACCGUAGCUUGCUACACCAUAGACUGUGAGUUGCGAACGGGUGAGUAACGCGUAGGUAACCUGCCUGGUAGCGGGGGAUAACUAUUGGAAACGAUAGCUAAUACCGCAUAAUAUUAAUUAUUGCAUGAUAAUUAAUUGAAAGGUGCAAUUGCACCACUACCAGAUGGACCUGCGUUGUAUUAGCUAGUAGGUGAGGUAACGGCUCACCUAGGCGACGAUACAUAGCCGACCUGAGAUGGUGAUCGGCCAGACUGGGACUGGGACAAGGCCCAGACUCCUACGGGAGGCAGCAGUAGGGAGUCUUCGGCAAUGGACGAGAGUCUGACCGAGCAACGCCGCGUGAGUGAAGAAGGUUUGCGGAUCGUAAAGCUCUGUUGUAAGAGAAGAACGGGUGUGAGAGUGGAAAGUUCACACUGUGACGGUAUCUUACCAGAAAGGGACGGCUAACUACGUG